AUAUUCUGAUAACUGGUGCUGAGGAAGAAGAUUAGGACUGUUUUUAGCACUGAAGGCUGCAGGACAUAUGGAUGCUGCAGACCUGUUAGUGACAGACAGAAAGUUGUUUGGAGGCAACAGGACAGAUUGUCUGGGAUUCCUGGCUGAGUCCCAAGGAAAGGCUGAUGAGGAGGAGGUGAGAGGAGAAGCAAAGGACCGAAUUCUUCUGCAGAAGAAAAGAAGCAGAAAAGGGAUCUGCAAGCAGAGACAAUGCUGCUCCUGUCAAGGGCAUGUGCUGUCUGGUCAGGGCACAGCCAUGAUUCCCUCUGUGCUGCACUCCAAACAUCUCAGCUGUCCCCUCAAUCCUGAUGGGAAUUUCCUUCAACUCCAGACUCCAGGACUUCGUUAAAAACCCAUCUUUAUUCCCAGAAUGUCUGCAGAUUUUAAAGAAGAAAGAAAACCAGAAGGCAAAUGUUCUCCCAGGGAGCAGCUGAGCUCUAAGGUUCAAGUGCUCAUUUUGUUUGCAGAUGCAUCACUAAUGUUCAGAGGUUCUAUUAAUAUUCAUAAUAUUUCUAACAUUAAUAAAUUUAAUAAUUAAUCUAUAUUAUAAAACUUA
rnacentral:lncRNA from 1 species